GAUGAAGAACGUAGCGAAAUGCGAUACUUGGUGUGAAUUGCAGAAUCCCGUGAACCAUCGAGUCUUUGAACGCAAGUUGCGCCCGAAGCCAUUAGGCCGAGGGCACGCCUGCCUGGGCAUCACACGUCGUUGCCCCCCCAUCUACUCCUUCGGGAUUGCGGGGGGCGGAUGAUGGCCUCCCGUGCGCCUCGUCGCGCGGUUGGCAUAAAUGCCAAGUCCUCGGCGACGCACGCCACGACAAUCGGUGGUUGCGAAACCUCGGUUGCCCGUCGUGUGCGGUCGUCGCGCAUCGAGGGCUCGAAAAAAUUGCCGGGCUCCGGCUCGGCUUUCAACGCGACCCCAGGUCAGGCGGGGUUACCCGCUGAAUUUAAGCAUAUCAAUAAGCGAAGA
rnacentral:misc_RNA from 1 species